GCGUGCCAGUGAUGAUUACAGAGAUAAAAAAUGGUGAAUUCUGGAUGAGCGGUGCUCGCGUGUCGCUGCGUGCGCGCGCGCUCGGCCGUGGUGAUAUCCCUUGCUCAGUUCAUCUGAGGCACGC
rfam:Oryza sativa Japonica Group DNA, chromosome 10, cultivar: Nipponbare, complete sequence.